rnacentral:rRNA from 1 species
GUACACGCUGUGACUAGCAUAUCAAUAAGCGGAGGAAAAGAAACUAACAAGGAUUCCCCUAGUAACGGCGAGUGAAGCGGGAAGAGCUCAAAUUUGAAAUCUUAAAGGGUUUCCCUUUACGAAUUGUAGUUUAAAGAAGUGUUUCCUGUUGAGGUUUUGGUAAAAGUUCUUUGGAAUAGGACAUCAUAGAGGGUGAGAAUCCCGUAUUUGACCUUUACUUUCAACUUUGUGAUACACUUUCAAAGAGUCGGAUUGUUUGGGAAUGCAGUCCAAAAUGGGUGGUAAAUUUCAUCUAAAGCUAAAUAUUGGCGAGAGACCGAUAGCGAACAAGUACCGUGAGGGAAAGAUGAAAAGAACUUUGAAGAGAGAGUUAAACAGUACGUGAAAUUGUCAAAAGGGAAGCGUUUGACACCAGUGUUGUUUUUCUGAAAAUCAAUUAAAGAACUGUUUAUGCUAAGCUUGUUUAGACUUUAUCAGCUAUCUGUUUAGUUUUGAGCUUUUCUUUAAUGCACUUUUCAGUUAACAAGUCAACAUCAAUUUCUUUUGCUGUAAAAAAGCUUGAGGAAGGUGGCUUGAGAUUCGUCUUAAGUGUUUAUAGCCUCUUGCCUAUGCAGUCGGAGAGAUUGAGGUCUGCAGCGUAGAUCCUUCGGGGCUAAAUGCAUUUGUGCUAAGUUAUAGCAUUUUAUAGACAACUUGUUGACUAUGAUUUGUCUUGUAGCUUACUCGCUUAUGUUAUUUUACCUACGCUUAGGAUGUUGAAGAUGUAGCACAUCAU